rnacentral:rRNA from 1 species
UUAAGCGACUAAGCGUACACGGUGGAUGCCCUGGCAGUCAGAGGCGAUGAAGGACGUGCUAAUCUGCGAAAAGCGUCGGUAAGGUGAUAUGAACCGUUAUAACCGGCGAUGUCCGAAUGGGGAAACCCAGUGCAAUUCGUUGCACUAUCGUUAACUGAAUACAUAGGUUAACGAGGCGAACCGGGGGAACUGAAACAUCUAAGUACCCCGAGGAAAAGAAAUCAACCGAGAUUCCCCCAGUAGCGGCGAGCGAACGGGGAGCAGCCCAGAGUCUGAAUCAGCUUGUGUGUUAGUGGAACGGUCUGGAAAGUCCGACGGUACAGGGUGAUAGUCCCGUACACCAAAAUGCACAGGCUGUGAACUCGAAGAGUAGGGCGGGACACGUGGUAUCCUGUCUGAAUAUGGGGGGACCAUCCUCCAAGGCUAAAUACUCCUGACUGACCGAUAGUGAACCAGUACCGUGAGGGAAAGGCGAAAAGAACCCCGGCGAGGGGAGUGAAAAAGAACCUGAAACCGUGUACGUACAAGCAGUGGGAGCACCUUCGGGUGUGACUGCGUACCUUUUGUAUAAUGGGUCAGCGACUUAUAUUCUGUAGCAAGGUUAACCGUAUAGGGGAGCCGCAGGGAAACCGAGUCUUAACUGGGCGUUAAGUUGCAGGGUAUAGACCCGAAACCCGGUGAUCUAGCCAUGGGCAGGUUGAAGGUUGGGUAACACUAACUGGAGGACCGAACCGACUAAUGUUGAAAAAUUAGCGGAUGACUUGUGGCUGGGGGUGAAAGGCCAAUCAAACCGGGAGAUAGCUGGUUCUCCCCGAAAGCUAUUUAGGUAGCGCCUCGUGAACUCAUCUUCGGGGGUAGAGCACUGUUUCGGCUAGGGGGUCAUCCCGACUUACCAACCCGAUGCAAACUACGAAUACCGAAGAAUGUUAUCACGGGAGACACACGGCGGGUGCUAACGUCCGUCGUGAAGAGGGAAACAACCCAGACCGCCAGCUAAGGUCCCAAAGUCAUGGUUAAGUGGGAAACGAUGUGGGAAGGCACAGACAGCCAGGAUGUUGGCUUAGAAGCAGCCAUCAUUUAAAGAAAGCGUAAUAGCUCACUGGUCGAGUCGGCCUGCGCGGAAGAUGUAACGGGGCUAAACCAUGCACCGAAGCUGCGGCAGCGACACUAUGUGUUGUUGGGUAGGGGAGCGUUCUGUAAGCCUGCGAAGGUGACCUGUGAGGGUUGCUGGAGGUAUCAGAAGUGCGAAUGCUGACAUAAGUAACGAUAAAGCGGGUGAAAAGCCCGCUCGCCGGAAGACCAAGGGUUCCUGUCCAACGUUAAUCGGGGCAGGGUGAGUCGACCCCUAAGGCGAGGCCGAAAGGCGUAGUCGAUGGGAAACAGGUUAAUAUUCCUGUACUUGGUGUUACUGCGAAGGGGGGACGGAGAAGGCUAUGUUAGCCGGGCGACGGUUGUCCCGGUUUAAGCAUGUAGGCUGGUUAUCCAGGCAAAUCCGGAUAAUCAAGGCUGAGGUGUGAUGACGAGGUACUACGGUGCUGAAGUAACAAAUGCCCUGCUUCCAGGAAAAGCCUCUAAGCAUCAGGUAACAUCAAAUCGUACCCCAAACCGACACAGGUGGUCAGGUAGAGAAUACCAAGGCGCUUGAGAGAACUCGGGUGAAGGAACUAGGCAAAAUGGUGCCGUAACUUCGGGAGAAGGCACGCUGGUGUGUAGGUGAAGUCCCUGCGGAUGGAGCUGAGACCAGUCGAAGAUACCAGCUGGCUGCAACUGUUUAUUAAAAACACAGCACUGUGCAAACACGAAAGUGGACGUAUACGGUGUGACGCCUGCCCGGUGCCGGAAGGUUAAUUGAUGGGGUUAUCCGUAAGGAGAAGCUCUUGAUCGAAGCCCCGGUAAACGGCGGCCGUAACUAUAACGGUCCUAAGGUAGCGAAAUUCCUUGUCGGGUAAGUUCCGACCUGCACGAAUGGCGUAAUGAUGGCCAGGCUGUCUCCACCCGAGACUCAGUGAAAUUGAACUCGCUGUGAAGAUGCAGUGUACCCGCGGCAAGACGGAAAGACCCCGUGAACCUUUACUAUAGCUUGACACUGAACAUUGAGCCUUGAUGUGUAGGAUAGGUGGGAGGCUUUGAAGCGUGGACGCCAGUCUGCGUGGAGCCAACCUUGAAAUACCACCCUUUAAUGUUUGAUGUUCUAACGUUGGCCCCUGACCGGGGUUGCGGACAGUGUCUGGUGGGUAGUUUGACUGGGGCGGUCUCCUCCCAAAGCGUAACGGAGGAGCACGAAGGUUAGCUAAUCCUGGUCGGACAUCAGGAGGUUAGUGCAAUGGCAUAAGCUAGCUUGACUGCGAGCGUGACGGCGCGAGCAGGUGCGAAAGCAGGUCAUAGUGAUCCGGUGGUUCUGAAUGGAAGGGCCAUCGCUCAACGGAUAAAAGGUACUCCGGGGAUAACAGGCUGAUACCGCCCAAGAGUUCAUAUCGACGGCGGUGUUUGGCACCUCGAUGUCGGCUCAUCACAUCCUGGGGCUGAAGUAGGUCCCAAGGGUAUGGCUGUUCGCCAUUUAAAGUGGUACGCGAGCUGGGUUUAGAACGUCGUGAGACAGUUCGGUCCCUAUCUGCCGUGGGCGCUGGAGAAUUGAGGGGGGCUGCUCCUAGUACGAGAGGACCGGAGUGGACGCAUCACUGGUGUUCGGGUUGUCAUGCCAAUGGCACUGCCCGGUAGCUAAAUGCGGAAGAGAUAAGUGCUGAAAGCAUCUAAGCACGAAACUUGCCCCGAGAUGAGUUCUCCCUGAGACUUUAAGUCUCCUGAAGGAACGUUGAAGACGACGACGUUGAUAGGCCGGGUGUGUAAGCGCAGCGAUGCGUUGAGCUAACCGGUACUAAUGAACCGUGAGGCUUAACCUU